rnacentral:snRNA from 1 species
GUGAUUUCUUGAGUAGUACAUACACUAAAAUUAGAACAACAGAGAGGCAAUUAGGAUAGCACCUGAGCAAGAAUGAUGUGCAAAUUCAUGAAGUAUUCUGUAUUUUU